UACGUAGGGGGCAAGCGUUGUCCGGAUUUAUUGGGCGUAAAGAGCGUGUAGGCGGCAUGGCAAGUGGAUGGUGAAAUCCCUCGGCUUAACCGAGGAACUGCCGUCCAAACUGCUUCGCUUGAGACCGGGAGAGGUGAGUGGAAUUCCCAGUGUAGCGGUGAAAUGCGUAGAUAUUGGGAGGAACACCAGUGGCGGAAGGCGGCUCACUGGCCCGAGUACCUGACGCUGAGGCACGAAAGCGUGGGGAAGCAAACAGGG
rnacentral:rRNA from 1 species